rnacentral:rRNA from 1 species
AUUGAACGCUGGCGGCAUGCUUUACACAUGCAAGUCGAACGGCAGCACGGGGGCAACCCUGGUGGCGAGUGGCGAACGGGUGAGUAAUAUAUCGGAACGUGCCCUAGAGUGGGGGACAACCAGUCGAAAGAUUGGCUAAUACCGCAUACGAUCUCUGGAUGAAAGUGGGGGACCGCAAGGCCUCACGCUCCUGGAGCGGCCGAUAUCUGAUUAGCUAGUUGGUGGGGUAAAGGCCUACCAAGGCGACGAUCAGUAGCUGGGCUGAGAGGACGAUCAGCCACACUGGGACUGAGACACGGCCCAGACUCCUGCGGGAGGCAGCAGUGGGGAAUUUUGGACAAUGGGGGCAACCCUGAUCCAGCAAUGCCGCGUGAGUGAAGAAGGCCUUCGGGUUGUAAAGCUCUUUUGUCAGGGAAGAAACGGUGGGGGUUAAUACCCUCUGCUAAUGACGGUACCUGAAGAAUAAGCACCGGCUAACUACGUGCCAGCCGCCGCAGUAA